AAAGGGUGCGUAGGUGGGCAGGUAAGUCAGUGGUGAAAUCUCCGGGCUUAACCCGGAAACUGCCGUUGAUACUAUCUGUCUUGAAUGUCGUGGAGGUGAGCGGAAUAUGUCAUGUAGCGGUGAAAUGCUUAGAUAUGACAUAGAACAUCAAUUGCGAAGGCAGCUCGCUACACGGUUAUUGACACUGAGGCACGAAAGCGUGGGGAUCAAACAGGAUUAGAUACCCUAGU
rnacentral:rRNA from 1 species